GACGGAGGAUGCAAGCGGUAUCCGGAAUGAGUGGGCGUAAAGCGUUCGCAGGUGGCUGUUUAAGUCUGCUGUCAAAGACCGGGGCUUAACCCCAGAAAGGCAGUGGAAACUGAACGGCUGGAGUGCAGAUCGGAUAGAGGGAAUUCCCAGUGUAGCGGUGAAAUGCGUAGAGAUUGGGAAGAACAGCGGUGGCGAAAGCGCUCUGCUGGACUGCAACUGACACUGAGGGACGAAAGCUAGGGGAGCGAAAGGG
rnacentral:rRNA from 1 species